rnacentral:rRNA from 1 species
AACGAGAAAGGUCCUUCGGGGCUAAGUAAAGUGGCGCACGGGUGAGUAACACGUGGGUAACGUACCCUCGGGUGGGGAAUAACGGGCCGAAAGGCUCGCUAAUACCGCAUAAGACCACAGCCCUCGCGGGGGCAGGGGUCAAAGGGGGCUGUUUUCGGACAGCUCUCGCCUGAGGAGCGGCUCGCGGACCAUUAGCUUGUUGGUGGGGUAAUGGCCUACCAAGGCUACGAUGGUUAGCUGGUCUGAGAGAAUGAUCAGCCACACUGGGACUGAGACACGGCCCAGACUCC